rnacentral:misc_RNA from 1 species
AAGUCGUAACAAGGUUUCCGUAGGUGAACCUGCGGAAGGAUCAUUAAAGAGUAAGGGUGCUCAGCGCCCGACCUCCAACCCUUUGUUGUUAAAACUACCUUGUUGCUUUGGCGGGACCGCUCGGUCUCGAGCCGCUGGGGAUUCGUCCCAGGCGAGUGCCCGCCAGAGUUAAACCAAACUCUUGUUAUUAAACCGGUCGUCUGAGUUAAAAUUUUGAAUAAAUCAAAACUUUCAACAACGGAUCUCUUGGUUCUC